AAGAUUUUAAGUUAAAAAAACUAACAAUUUUCAAAAUUGUCAUUAAGCCGAGUUUAAAUUUUA
rnacentral:tRNA from 1 species